GUUAUAACGAUGAAAAAGGACUAGUACAUAUCUCAUCUUUUUCUCAGAGAGGGAAUCCAUUGGCUGAAAGAUUCUUAAAAAGGCGAUAUGGAACCUACCUUUGCGUUCUGCAUAUGCGGCGGGAAAUUCCCGUUAUCAAAAAAGAGAGCAUGUACAACUUUUGUGCAUGAAUCAGGGUGGUAACGCCGGCAAAAGCUCGGUCCCUAUU
rnacentral:ncRNA from 1 species